CCCUGGCUCAGGACGAACGCGGCGGCGUGCCUAAUACAUGCAAGUCGAGCGGAAUGAUGAAGAAGCUUGCUUCUUCUGAUUUUAGCGGCGGACGGGUGAGUAACACGUGGGCAACCUACCUUGUAGAUUGGGAUAACUCCGGGAAACCGGGGCUAAUACCGAAUAAUCCAUUUUGCUUCAUGGCRAAAUGUUGAAAGGCGGCUUCGGCUGUCACUACGAGAUGGGCCCGCGGCGUAUUAGCUAGUUGGUAGGGUAAUGGCCUACCAAGGCGACGAUACGUAGCCGACCUGAGAGGGUGAUCGGCCACACUGGGACUGAGACACGGCCCAGACUCCUACGGGAGGCAGCAGUAGGGAAUCUUCCACAAUGGACGAAAGUCUGAUGGAGCAACGCCGCGUGAGUGAAGAAGGUUUUCGGAUCGUAAAACUCUGUUGUAAGGGAAGAACACGUACGAGAGUAACUGCUCGUACCUUGACGGUACCUUAUUAGAAAGCCACGGCUAA
rnacentral:rRNA from 1 species